rnacentral:lncRNA from 1 species
UGGGAAUUCAUCACUUCACUGGCAAACAGCUCCCAGCUUCAGUUUCUUGUUCUCCGCAACAACUCUUUCAGCGGGCAACUGCCUAAUUCAGUCGCAAACCUGUCAUCAACUCUGCAACGUCUUUAUUUGGGAAACAAUUCGAUUUCUGGGAAUAUUCCAAUAAACAUCGGAAAUUUGGUUGGUCUUACAUUACUUGAUAUGGCAAAUACUUUUGUAUCUGGACAGAUUCCAGAGAGCAUUGGUCAGCUAAGAAACUUGGUUGAUUUAGGCCUUUACAACACUAGCUUGUCAGGCCUGAUACCUUCAUCACUAGGAAAUCUUACACAGUUGAAUAGGCUUUAUGCAUACUAUGGAAACUUAGAGGGGCCAAUUCCAUCAAACUUGGGGAACUUAAAGAAUGUGUUUGCCUUUGAUCUCUCAACAAAUCGACUCAAUGGUUCAAUUCCUAUAGAGGUUUUAAAACUUCCUCAACUUUCCUGGUACUUAGACUUAUCAUAUAAUUCAUUAUCGGGGCCACUUCCAACUGAGGUUGGUACCAUGGUGAAUCUUAACGAACUGAUUCUGUCUGGAAACAAGUUGUCAGGCACCAUACCAGCUAGUGUUGGGAACUGUAUAUCAUUGGUACGACUGCUGCUCGAUAACAACUUAUUAGAAGGAAGCAUACCUCAAUCUCUGAAGAACUUAAAAGGUCUUGAAUUACUGAACCUAACAAUGAAUAAGCUAUCUGGUAGUAUUCCUGAUGCCCUUGCUAGCAUUGGCAACCUGCAACAACUGUAUCUUGCACACAACAACUUGUCAGGUUCCAUCCCCAAAGUUCUACAGAAUUUGACAUUGUUGGCAAAACUGGAUUUGUCCUUCAAUGAUCUGCAAGGCGAAGUGCCAAAAGGGGGUCCUUUUGCAAAUGCAACUCGCUUGUCAAUUGAUGGAAAUGAUGAGCUUUGUGGCGGAAACCCUCAACUUCAUUUAGCUCCGUGCUCCACAGCUGCUGCAGGGAAGAACCGAAGGCGAAUGUCAAGAUCACUUAUGGUUUCCGUAGCGUCAAUCUGCGCACUUCUAUUCUUAGGUUUAGUAGUUUUUCUUAUCCAUUUGAUCCACAAGAGGCUGAGUCAAGGAAAGGAAAAUCAACUCAUUCCCACAGUAAUUGAUGAACAGCAUGAAAGGGUUUCAUAUCAAGCAUUAGCAAAUGGGACUGACCAUUUUUCGGAGGUUAAUCUGCUCGGACAAGGAAGCUAUGGUGCAGUUUAUAAGUGCACUUUACAUGACAAGGGAAUUGCCGCAGCUGUAAAGGUAUUCAAUGUGUGGCAAUCUGGGUCUACUAGAAGUUUUGUGGCUGAAUGUGAGGCACUGCGAAGGGUGCGCCACCGAUGUCUCAUAAAGAUCAUCACCUGUUGCUUAAGCAUUGAUCACCAAGGCCAAGAAUUCAAGGCACUGGUUUUUGAGUUCAUGCCCAAUGGUAACCUAAAUGAUUGGCUGCAUCCAGCAUCAAAAAUACAGAGUCUGAGCAAUACGCUCAGCUUGGCUCAUAGACUGGACAUUGCGGUAGAUAUCAUGGAUGCUCUGGAUUAUCUUCACAAUCAGUGUCAACCGCCUAUUAUCCAUUGUGAUCUCAAACCAAGUAACAUCCUCCUUGCCGAAGAUAUGAGUGCUCGGGUUGGAGAUUUCGGCAUAUCAAAAAUCCUUCCUGAUGACACUAGCAAAACUAUGCUGAAUUCGGUUAGCUUCACUGGACUAAGAGGUUCCAUUGGAUAUGUCGCUCCAGGUAACAGAAACUAACACUGAUAUUGCUAUGUUCAGUUUUUAACUUCCAUUUUGCCAAGUCCAGUUAUCUCGGCAUGAAUCGUUCGUAAGUAGCUUGCCAUGAAUCCACUGACCAAAUAGUGUCUGAAAUCUGAAUUGACUGCAGAGUACGGCGAGGGUCGCGCCGUCUCAACUCUUGGAGAUGUUUACAGCCUCGGCAUACUGUUGCUUGAGAUAUUCACCGGGAUGAGCCCUACUGACGACAUAUUCAAAGGCUCCUUGGACCUUCAUAAGUUCGCCGAGGCCGCUCUUCCCGACAGAGCCUUGGAGGUAGCCGACCCGGCAAUCUGGCUUCAUGAAGAAGCAAAGGGGGAAGACCCGGCCACGGUGAGAAGCAGAAGCGAGAGGUGCUUGGCUUCAGUGGUCGGGCUUGGCGUGUCCUGCUCAAAGCAGCUGCCAAGGGAGCGGACGGCGAUGCGGGAUGCUGCCGCUGAGAUGCGUGCGAUCAGAGAUGCCUUCCUGGUUCAAUGUGCAACAGAGACUUGGCCUGCAGUCGGCACCACCGGCCUUGGAAGUGCAGACAGUUGAAUGGUGGACGGAGCUACGGUCUCUUGACGCACCAAGGAGCACCGGACUAGCAACUCUGCAACUAACAGAGUGGAAAAAGCGCCCCUUAAUGAAAAGAAAAACAGCCGGUGCAAGGCUUUAUACAAAGAAUGUGACAGCCACUGCGUGUAUCCGAGAGCCUUAUCUAAUCUACCGAGGAUUGUUGUGUAUGGAUGCGUAUAGAUUAUGCACGGACUCCUCUGUCCUAAAAUAAACGCACAUCUUGCUUCUUUAGCAGUCAAACUUCUAAGUUUAACUAAAAUUUAUAAAAAAAAUGUACUACUAUUUAUAAUGUAUAAUAAAUAUCAUUAGAUUGAGCAUUGGGUAUACUUUCCUAAUACAUUUAUUUGAAGAUGCAAAUGUUGAUACUAUUUUCUAUAUUCUUAGUCAAAUUUAAAAAUAUUUGACUCAUCGAGAAGCGAGAUGUGUGUUUAUUUUGGGACGAAAGGAGUACCCGUCACCGGGAUCAGUCACGAUAUAAGAUUAGUCACGAUAUAAGUAGGGAUUAGCAAGCACCAAAACCCCAUUCACUGCCCAUCGAUCGCUCAAAUAAAAGAAACCAUUGCAUAUGGUAGCGAUGCGCUCGCGGACCUUUCUCCAACCUUUCUGCUCUCGCGGGUCUUGAACUUGCAUGGAACAGUUUUAGUAAAGCUGCCUCCAACUUUAGGGAGGUUGCCAAGGUUCAUUUACCUGUCCUUAAGUGGCAAUAAGUUAGGAUCGAAUGAUAAGGACGGAUUGGAAUUCAUCACCAUGCUGGCAAACUUCAGCCAGCUUCAUCAACUGGCUUUUGACAAUAAUUCAUUCAUCGGCGAACUUCCUAGCUCAAUUGCAAAUCUAUCGACAACACACCAAUUACUCUAUAUACGAUACAAUUGGAUUUCGGGAUUUAUUCCAUCCAGCAUAGGUAAUUUGCUUGGUCUAGAACUGCUUACGUUGGCAAAUACUUUCAUAUCCGGAAUGAUUGCAGAUAGCAUUGGUCGCCUAGAAGACAUGUCCGUGUUAGGCAUUUACUACGCUAGCUUGUCAGGUAUCAUACCUUCGUCACAAGGAAAGCUUACACAGUUGAAAACUCUCUAUGCGUACGAUAGCAACUUGGAGGGUUCAUUUCCAGCAAGCUGGGGGAACUUAAAGAAUCUUUUUGUUCUUAAUCUCUCAACGAAAGUGUGUAACCCGCUAAAGGUUCAUGUCAAAGCAGAGCAUAAAUCUCUUUCAAAACUGCAAAACUAUCAUAAAGCAGAUCAGUCUGAGGGCCAGCCUAUGCCCGCCUCCCUUCUUGCCCUUUUGGUAAGAUUACCCCAAACUAGAGUCUAUAAUUAAUUAGCUAAGACUAGAGCCACGCAGUUCUUGUGGUUGUACUGUUUUCCUGAGUGGUCGCUCCAUGUUCCAAUUAAGCAUGAUGAUCUUGUAUUAAUAAAAGGUAUAUCAUAAAUAAAACAAGUUUAAUCAUUGAGUUCAUUAAAACCAUCACAAUCCAAGGUAUUGCAACUAAGCAUAUCUACCUAAAAAAAGGUAAAACCUAGGUUGACAAGGAAUGAUCAUAAAAACUAGGUAAACUUUAAUAGGACCCAUCAAUAUUAAAUGUAGAGUAAUGCAAAAGUGAUUAAAUAUAGUUUUUGGGAUAAAAGUAUAAGGACACACGUGCCUUUCUCCAAAGAAUAGCUGCUCAGAUUAUCUUCAGCUCUUGUUCCUCAAAGCUCUCGAACAAUGUUCCUUCUACUUGCAUCAAUCAUCGGCACAAGCAUACCAAGCAAACAACAAUCACAACUAAGAACAAUACAUCAAUCAAUGGAAAGCUUUAAAAGAGCGUACAAAAGGAUAAGGCUUGAAUCUAAGGUCACGCGAAUGCAAGAAACGCUGGGAACGAAACUAUGGUUGAAAAGACAAAGUUAUCGAGAGAUUUGAAUUAUAAAAGAAAGAGAAAAGCCUAUGUGCUUCAUAUAUUUUAAUAAAAUAAUGUAAAGAUAUUUUAGAGUAACAUCCUUAGCAUGUUCUAGUUAUGUAUGAAAAGACAAUGUAGACCUUAGUCAAAUUUUAUUUAUAAACAUUCAAGUACAAUUUAUGCAAAUUAAAAAUUUAAUUUGAAAAUAAAGUAUAUGUAAACAUCUAAGCGCAUAGCUUUAUAAUUUAGGUUGAACUAACCAAAUAUAAUUCGAAAACACAUUUAUAUUUAUAUUAAAUCAAAUUAACAUAUAAUUAUGAAAAAUCGAGAUAUAACUUAUGUAGCUUUUAUUUAGAAAACAAAUUGAAUAAACAUUUUAAUUAAAGAAUACAUGUUUAACAUGCAUUAAUUAGAUUAAUAUUAAAUUUAUUUUAAAAACAUGCAUGAUGGAAAGAUCGGCACUAACGUGUAAUUUGUGUUAUCACGAACCUAACUCAACAAGAACAGAUAUAAACGGAGCUGUAACGAGGAGUCUAUGGGUUAAACAAGGUUGAACGGAAGGUUAUUGGGGCUAGCAAGGAAGAUUUGCAAGACACUGGAAUAGAGCUCACCAUUAGGUCAAAGCAUAGGGUUAGAUAUGUUAAAGUGCUCAAGUUAGACUUGGUUGCACGGAUCCAAUCUAAUCAGGGACAUGGAUGAAAAAAAACAAGACACAAGGAAAAACUAACUAUUUGUAGAGCUUUAUAGGGGCCUAUGCGCAAAAGCACCACAACUCAGCAUCCAUGGCGGACGGGCUCCUGGAUGGCAAAACCCUCGUGUCGGAUUUAUAAGCCUGGUAGUCCACCAAGGGGUUCCCCAAGUGGUUGAUUUGUAGGUGAGGGUGAUUGUGAAACCAAGAACUCGAAGGUGAUCGCGAGAACACGAAGGGACACGAAGGUUUUAGACAAGUUCGGACCUUCGGAGAGUAAUACCCUAUGUCCUAUAUGCUGGUUUGUAUUGCUUGAGAUUGAUCUAAUUGUUGCGAUACCCUCGGGGGUACCCUUGGCCGCCUUAUAUAGGCUGACGACCAAGAGUUAAAAGUCGGUUUGAAUCUAAUCUACUCGGUAGUUACAUGGAAAGUAAUCUGAGUUGGACUACAAUAUGUGUUCCAUGAUAUCUGUUCAGAUUUGAACUAUCUUGUUGCCUUGACUUGCACUCCAAGUAACUUCAUGUCCUCGGCCCGCACGCCCUGAUCGGGCAGGCCCUACUUGUUAGGUCCGACCAGUAUCCUGGCCGGUCGGGGCCCAUGGGGUACCCAUAUCCCUCAAGCCCCCAAGCAUUGUGUAGGCAAACAGGAACUUGAUGUCAUCAAAGUGAAACUUGAAAUGAAAUCGGGUGAAGCUACGAAGGCGUCAUGGCGACGGAGAGCUCAAAAAAAGAAAAUAUGAGCAAACGAAGAGCCAACGCGUAGAGCGAGGAUGAGUGCCGAGUUGAUGGAUGCUGGCAUCCAGCAGGUCGAAGCGAAGGUUACGGAGGGCGUCGCAAGACGCACUCUGUAGGAGUAGCCCCGGAGCAUUGAAACAAUUAAGAUAAUCAAUACAAUGGUAAAAGAGGAAAAAAUUGUCCCCUGAAGCAGAUCCUUGUGCCCGAACACAAGGAUGGACGCAGCCACGGAGGCCCGCCAACCAGAAGUAGGCACCCAGACUCAAGGACGAGGACUGGUGGGACUGUGGAGCCAUGCCGACCUAAAAUAGGCAUAUAACCCCUAAGGACGAGGACUAGCGGAGCCGCGGAGGCAUGCUAACCUGAAAUAGGCACCCAGCCCCCGAGGAUGAGGACUGGCGGAGCCAUGAAGGCACGCCGACUUGAAAUAGGUGCCAAGCCCCCGAGGAUGAGGACCAGCAGAGCCACGAAGGCACUCUGACCAGAAUUAGGCGUCCAGCCCCCGGGCAUGAGUGCGAGGAUUGGCGGAAGCACAUCGAGUUGCCUCCCUUCCCGGGCUCAGGCAGAGAGAUUGGUCGGGUGACGGGAGGCACACCAAGUCAUCAAUGGUGCCCAGCCGCCGAGCCUAGGAGCCGGACGAGUUGCAGAAGCAUGGCAAGUCACCUCCCGCCCCGAGCCAGAGAGGUCGGCCGGGCGACAGGAGGCACGCCGAGUCAUCUACGGUGCCCAGCCCCCGAGACUUGGAGCCGGCUGAGCCACAGAAGCAUGCCAAGCCGCCUCCCGCCCUGAGCCAGAGAGGUCGUUUGGGCGACGAGAGGCACGUCGAGUCGUCUGCGGCGCCUAGCCCUCGAGCUUGGGAGCCAGACGAGCCACAGAAGCAUGCCAAGUCGCCUCCUGUCCCGUGCUAGAGAGGUCGGCCGGGUGAUGGGAGGCACGCUGAGUAGUUUUUGAGCUGUAAAAGAACAAUACAAUCAUUAUGUAGCAUAAUGUAGAUCAUUUAAUCAUUGAACAACUCGGAAGUUUAAUUCGCUGUAGAAGUAAACUCUUGCGCAUCCUGCUCUUGUAGGCCAAGUAAUUUCCCUAGGUAGUUAUCUUGUUACGUUUAAGCACCUAGCCCUACUGACCACUGUUCACGGAGAGGAUGGUUUAUCUUAGGCUAUAGCGCUGGGGCUGACCCGAUGCUCGCAUAUAGGAACGCGCAGGAUGAGUCAAGGUUUCACGGAUUGAGGCGUGUGCUACCCGAGUACUUUAGCAACCGUUAACAGGGAUGGACAAGUCGCAAAGCAACCGGAACUGUGCAGAAAAGUACCAGCAUGAGUUGGGCACCCAUGGGGUGUAGCCCCCGGUCGCCCGUGUAGUGGACGGACCAAGCUGUAUAAGCAGUUAGGGUGCGACCAAGGUGGUCGGCGAAAGUCACGGAGAUAUAGGAGAGCCGAGGCGGUCAGCGAAAGUCACGACAACAUGGAGGAGCCGAGGCUUAUGUAGGUAUAUGGAAGCGGUAAAAUAUUUUAUUGUAAAUAAUACUUAGCUUGAUUCGUGGUCGAGUCAAAGAACCCGCGUGUCAUCUUCGCGUUUAGUCUUAGAAGCCCCUGAGCGUGGUCGGCGGACAGUUGUUGGUGAAGCAAACUAGUCGGGCUCCAUGCCCAACUAAUUCGUGUCGAGUUCGAGUUGUUGGAGUUGUCAGCAGCAGGUUUGUGGUUGCGAUUGUGGUAUGCUGUUGCCAAGUCGAUGCAGCCAUCGGGUCGUGUCCGGCUGGCCGCUACGCUCACAGUACAACAUGUCUGGGUUGUGCUGCCAAACCAAGGGUGCAUGUACAUCUUUUCGAACCUCGUAAGGAAGCCCUCACGUAUUAAGGAAAUCUAUACCUAAUAUUAAAGCUCUCGCAGCGUGCGCCUAUGCCACGUGCGGUGCGGACGGGUGUGCCAGCUGCGGCUGCGAGCUCCUCACUGCGGCAGGGACCAGGUCGAGCAGCGACAGUGAUGACGAAGAGGAGUAGUCCGUGUCUGCGUGCCGUGCCAUCAUCGCCGGGCAAGGUGUGGCGGCGGCGGAGGGGGAGAGUGAGUACAUCGACGUGCAGCGGUGGCCGUGGGGCAGGUGGGCGGCAGAGAUCCGCGACCCGCACCACACCGUGCGCAAGUGGCUCGACACCUUUGACACAGCUAAGGAUGCCACACACACCUACAACAUCACCGAUGUUGAGUUUCGAGGCCACUGCACCAAGAUCAACUUCCCCGACGACACGGCCCCUGCGCCCGCACCUUCCUGGGUGCCGACCUCGACAUACUACCGCCACGACCACCUGCCGCUGCCGCUGCCCGAGAGCCUACACGAGACCUGCGGGGCGAACGCAUCCUCGUCGGUGGAUGUGGCUCUUGCGGUAGCGGCGUCGGCCGAGCAGCACGGCACGAGGCUGGUGCCAAAGGAGCAGGACAUCUGGGACAGGCUGAACGAGUUCAUGAUGAUGGAUGACAGUAGCUUUUGGUCACCCAUGCUAUGAUCGUCACAUUCUCCUCCAUUCUCCUCUUGUUUUCACUUUCGUUGCUUAGCGGAUAAUGGUGGUCAGCUGGCCUCUGGUCUGUCGUCAAUCACCAGCCAUCCAUCGCUUUUAUAUGGUUUUACACUAGCUUUUGGGCUUUGACCACGCCCUCCACACCCAUACGAAACGACUAGGUAGAGUGAUGUUGAUCUACUGCUUGCUGCGCGCUAGGGCGGGCAGCUACUCACUCGGGCUAGAUGCCCUACCCACCACCUGGACCUAAGAGGUGAAGGAGAGAGGAGGGAGGGGGAAGGAAACAAGGAACCGAGUGCCUCUUUGCAGUCAACCAAGUAGAGCCAUAUGCCAGCGAAGGCAUGGCGCCAGCGGGGGGUGGGGGGGGCGCAGCGGCAGUCGGCAGGCAACACAAACAGGGGGUGGAGGUCGGGACCUCACAUCCCCCUCUCAAUGAUGUCCAUCCCCUUCAGAUCCAGAACUAAAGCCUCCACAUCUAGCAAUUGGGGGCUCGAUUUUGCACUUGAUUGGAACGAUUUGGAGUGGAUUAUAGAAGGGAAGUGGAUGGAAACGAGAAGAAGAGGAAAACACACUCCUGCUCAUGGCGGCCAGAGGCGCGGUGGCCUAGCGCUCGAAGCAGGAAUGAGGCUAGGCACGGGAAGGACGAGCGUUUGCCUGGGCGACGACGAGGAUGGCAAGAUGCAUAGCGCCUGGACGAUGGCGAAGAUAGGGCACGAUGCGGGUGGCGCCGACGGACGAAGUGGCAUCGACUAGCUAGAUGACGAUGAGUACGGGGGAAUCGAAUGAAUGGAUAGAGCGGAGGUUGAGCGGUGAUUUUUUUUAUUUCCAUGUGUGGGUCCAUGUAAUAAACAGAUGGCAUCAAACCACCCACAAAUAUCUUCUACUACUGUACUGGGAUAACGCAUCAACAUAUGGUGAAGCGAAAUCAACAUAUUAGGAAUAAGCGAAUAAUAAUGUGAGAGUAAGUAAGGACUUGUAGCAACGUACAUGUAUUUCUGCUCGUAAGAAAAAAAAUUGUUAGCUGCCGUAGUAAGCACCAAGCAACGUAGGAGAUCUACUGGAUGGAAUAGAUUAAAUAAUAAAGGGAAGGGAGAAUUGUUCCUUUUUUUUUUGGCAGAUCCGAUGUGUCUGCAUGCAACAAGUUGAGGUCGACGUGUUGUGCUAAAUCAACCGGAUCAGACCGGGGCCGGAUCAGGCGAGCUUGGCUGUGGCCGGGAUGAGGCCAAUAAGGGUGUCGCCCUUGACCUUGGCCUCCUGCGCCUCGCGGAUCUUCUACAUCUGGAGCAUCUGCUCCAUGAUGAGCUCGUACUGGCACUUCUUGUAGGCGUGGCGCUCGGGCUCGCACUUCCAGCGGAGGUAGAACUCGGAGGUGCACGCACUGGUCGUGGUAGGCGAGCGGCACCCAGGCCUCCGCCAUCUCCACCUGCGUGACGAUCUGGGGCUUCGAGGAGCCGAACUGAAUGCCGGCCAUUGCCACCGCCUCCAUCUGUCACUUUCUUGGCCUCUCUCUUGCCGGCGAGGUCGUUCCGUUGAUAGAUGGGUGCUGCGGGUUUGGUGCGGCGUGGGUGGGUGGGGUGCAGCAAGGACGUGAGGAACCCUCUCGGAGAGAGAGAUUGCUGACCUACUGGGUAAAUGGUGUGAUGAUCCUUUGAUAUAGACCUUGCUCCGCCGGAGUAAAUUCGACAGAUGCCAAGCUAGCGGCGGGCAUUGAGUCAAAGUCCAUCGGCAUGCUCCUGAAGUGGAGCUGGAUCGGAUUGGCGAGGAAGUCCUUCAUGCUCUUGGGGAAAACAAUGUCGGGGCGGGAUGCCAUCGAGCUCGCUAGGGAGGAUCUUACAAUCAUCCCUACCUAGCGCGCCAACUGUUGGAUUUAUAAGCCCGGUAGUCCACCAGGGGUUACCCAAGUAGUUGAUUUAUAGGUGAGGGCAAUUGCAAAAUCAAGAACUCGAAGGUGAUCGCGAAAACACGAAGGGACACGAAGGUUUUAGAUAGGUUCGGGCCUCCGGAGAGUAAUACACUAUGUCCUGCAUGCUGAUUUGUAUUGCUUGAGAUUGAUAUGAUUGUUGGGAUACCCUCGGGGGUGCCCUUGGCCGCUUUAUAUAGGCUGACGACCAAGAGUUACAAGUCGGUUUGAAUCUAAUCUACUCGGUAGUUACAUGGAAAGUAAUAUGAGUCAGACUACAAUACGCGUUCCAUGAUAUCCAGGCAGAUUUGAAUUGUCUUGUUGCUUUGACGUGCACUCCAAGUAACUUCAUGUCCUCGACCCGCACGCCUUGGUCGGGUGGGCCCUACUUGUCAGGUCUGACCAGUAUCUUGAGGUACCCAUAUCUCUCACCUUGGUGCUCUGGCGAUUAGGGUCAGUGGCGAGGAUGGGGAUUGGAAGAGGAGAUCGAGGGGACUUUAUGGAGAUGCUCACCGGCGACGAGGCGGACGGAUUCUGGCUAGUAUUUGGCUGGCGGUGGAAGAACACGACAGCUGGCUCAAGUCUUCGUGAGUGAUGGUACUCCGGCGGUGGAGCGACGACGACGACUAGUGGCAGAGCUGCUCCUCGAUGUCACGGAGCUCCCUAAGGCUCUAGCUUGCUCCGAUGGUCGACGGGCACAGCGAAUCGGCCAGAGAAGGACGGCAGUGGCUCCUAGCUCUGGCGGAUGUGGGGGAUGGCAGCGCUCGUGCAAGCUAGGAAGAGCGGCGGUGUGAGGCAGGGCAAUAGCAGGGGCACGAUCUCGACUUUUAUAUGUGCGUGGGUCCGCGCCUGCCUUGGCACGCAUGCCGAGGUUCGGCGGUGGCGAUGCCCAAGUGCAGCUACGCUUGGCCUCGACCCGCUGGUGGUCGAUGGGCCUAGCGGGCCUAGCCGAGCCAUCAACUGGGCCGGGUCAGUGCAGGUUAGUUGGAGAGGGUCGGGCCCCAAAGACUUGGCUCGAUCGAUUAGGAUUUUUCUUUUUUUCAGAAAUGAUUUCUCGUGAAAGAAAAAUCCAGAAAAAUUCUAGAUAAUUAAUUUAAACAAUGAAAAAACUCUAAAAAUCCAAAAAUUUCAGGAAAAAUCACCUCUAGUUGGGGACAUGAGGAGUCCAAAUAAAAUACUUGGAGCUCGUGAAAAGGAUUCUAGAACCUUCCAAAAAUUGGAUUUAGCUUUAGAAAAAAAUGAGAAUAAAUCUUAGAAAAAUCUGAAAAUUCUCAUAAGAACCUAAUCAGCAUCUAAACGCAAUCCAAAACCUUUGCACUUAUGAAAUACCAAGAUGCAUUGGUGUGAAUGCAACCCAUACACAAUCAUUAUAUUUAAUUCAGAAAAACCCUAAAUUGUUUUCCUAUACUAAAUUUCCUGUCAAGAAAAUAAAUGUUGGAAAAAUUUUAAAAUUGUGAAAAAAUUAUUGUUUUAUUAUUCUUUUUAAUCACAUUCUGAAAUUUCAAAAAUUUUAAGGUGAGGCAGAUACCCUCAGGUUUACAGAAUUUGACAUCCAUGUGCAAAUUGGAUCUAUCCUUCCAUGAUCUGCAAGGUGAAGUGCCAAAAGUUUUUUUUUUGGCAAAUGCAACUUACAUGUUGAUUUAUGGAAAUGAUCAGCUUUGUGGUGGAAAUACCUCAACUUCAUUUAGCUCCAUGCUCCAUGUCCAGUGCAAAAAAGAAAAAAAAGUAAAUUUGUCGAAAACCCUUGUGAUCACCCUAACAUCAAUCAGUGCAGUUGUAUUCUCAGUUUCAGUACUUACUGUAAUUGUGUUGAUCUGUAAGAAGCUUAGGAAAAGGCACGAAAGUCAACUCAUAUCCACAACUGAGGAACGGUAUGAAAGAGUUUCUUAUCAUGCUUUGUCAAAUGGGACCAAUGGAUUUUCAGAGGACAAUUUACUUGGACAAGGAAGCUAUGGCAUGGUUUAUAAAUGUACUUUACAUGACCAGGGCACUACAGUAGGCUACUGUAAAGGUGUUUAACACACAACAAUCUGGGACUUCUAGAAGUUUUGUCGCUGAAUGCGAGGCACUCAGAAGGGUGCGUCCUCGUUGUCUCGUAAAGAUCAUCACUUGUUGCUCAAGCAUCAAUCACCAGGGUCAAGAGUUUAAGGCACUAGUUUUUGAGCUCAUGCCAAAUGGUAGCCUAAAUGGUUGGCUUCACCCAGAGUCUGACACACUUACCCCGACAAAUACUCUUAGCCUUGAACAAAGGCUACACAUUGCUGUCGAUAUCCUGGAUGCUUUGGACUAUCUUCAUAAUCACUGUCAGCCAUCAAUCAUUCAUUGCGAUCUCAAGCCAAGCAACAUCUUUCUUGCGGAGGACAUGAGUGAGUGCCCGAGUUGGAGGUUUUGGCAUACGAAGAAUCCUUCCAGAAAGUGCUAGUAAAACCCUGCAAAAUUCGAAUAGCACAACUGGAAUAAGAGGCACCAUUGGUUAUGUUGCACCAGGUAAUGAAAGAGAUAUUUUUGGUAUUUGUAAAAUGUUCUUGGUUCUUACGUAUACAUGACCUGCUGACCUUUGGUUUUUUUCCCCAAUCAGAGUACGGUGAAGGUUCUUCUGUCUCAACUCAAGGUGAUGUUUAUAGCCUCGGCAUAUUGCUGCUUGAGAUGUUUACUGGAAGGAACCCAACAGAUGAGAUAUUCAAUGAUUCUUUGGAUUUGCACAAGUUUUCAGAGAAUGCUCUUCCAGAGAGAAUAUGGGAUAUAGUUGAUCCGACAAUACGGAUGCACACAGAUGCCUAUAACAGCACUAUAAGAAGUGGAAUUAAGAAUUGCUUGGUUUCUGUUGUUUCUCUUGGAAUAUCAUGCUCGGAGAAACAACCUAGGGAGCGGAUCCCGAUUCUGGAUGCAGCCAUUGAGAUGCACGCUAUUAGAGAUUCGUAUCUCAAGUUUGCCAGAUCUCUUUUGGUGGAGCAUGGAGUAGUAGCAACAACUCACAGUGAUUUUCCACAACAGUGAAUACAUAGGACUGAAAAUGCGCAAGAUGUCUGCAGGUGAUCAGUUUACCUGAAAUAACUGAAGAUGUAUGAAGCUUCAGCUUUAUAAUUUGUCCAUGCAUUUGUUUGCAUCAGAUAUAUGGAAGUAUAAAAUAAGUUUAGAAAAUGUUUCAAAAUUGAUUAGAUCCAGAGGUUUUAGUUGUCGUUUGUAUGACACAUUUUUGUAGAGAAUUCAGUAAUACGUAUGAUUCAUAAUACAAUCAAUGCUCUGCAAAUUUCAGAUAGCACAAUUGGAAUAAAAAGCUCAUUCCUUGAUUAUGUUGCUCUAGGUAACUCAACUUAUUGUGAUGUUCAGUGUAGAUUUCUCCAUGGUCCAAACGACCUUUGUGAUCAGUUAUGUUUAUGCAUUUUGUAGAAUUGUAAAGUCUUUCCCUAACCUGCUGACAUAUUAGCCGGAGCAGAGCACUUUGCCGUUCUGUACCACUCGCCUCUAGGAGGCGCUUGCCGCUUGGUGGCUGCCGUGGCGACCGGCGGCAUCCGUACCUGCUAUGUCGGAGAUGGGUGGAGCUGCUCUGCUCUGCCGGUACGAGCUCACUCACGCGGUGAAUGGCGCGCGCCUCUAAGGUCCCGUCAGCUGCAGGUGCAGAUGGGUGGAGAGCGUAGCAGCGCUAGGUCUUCAGAAGAUGUUGGGUGGGCUGGAUGGGGCUUUGCGGCUCUGAAUGCUGAGGCGGGCAGGGACGACGGAGCUGGACGCGUGGGGGAGGAGACGAUGGGCAUUUCUGAUAAUAGUUGGAUCGCGAUCCAAAUUAGGGGGCUAUUUACAAAUAAUAGGAGGUAUUCCGUAAAUAUUCGGAUCGCGAUCAUUAAUCGCGAUCCAAACGAGGGGUUAAUUGAAAUUAUGAUGGGGUGUCUUUUGAAAUUCCGGAUCGCGAUCCCAUCCUCCGCCGCGGCUCGCCGGAGCGCCGCCAGACGCCGGCCAUCCCUUGGGGUACCUCUUCUUCCUUCCGCCUGUCGGAGCCCUAAGACGCGGUCGGUGUUUGAUCUGACAAGGAACCUUGAAGUCCGGACUAACUGAAGAAGACAGACAUGAUGCUGACCUGGAAGACGACGGCCUCGCCAUGGCCGGAUGCGGCGCGGUGGAAGGACAGUGUGGUGGAGGAGCGGAUGUUGUCCGACGUGAACUCACCAGCGGCGUGGUCCACCACAUUCCGUCGACGGGCGGCGCACUUGCUGUCGCCUGUCGGCUACUUCCAGGCCGUAGCUGAGCUUCAGAGUUCAGACAGGGUGCUUGUGCUUGCAACAAGUUCAGAACGAUGUCAUUGCUUUGAUGCAGAGGAUGGAGCAAACCGGUUGCAAAUUGGAUUCUGAUACAUAUAACUUAAUAAUGAACCUUUAUGUCGAUUGGAAAUAUGAGAAGGGGUGCACCAAAUAUGGGAUGAGAUGGAGAGGAGUGGAUCAGGCCCAGAUCAACGAUCAUUUACUAUUAUGGUUCAUGGUCUUCAUUCCCAAGGAAAGCUUGAUGAGGCUCAACAAUGAAGUCAAGAGGGUUGAUCCCUGAACCAGGGACCAAGAUACUGGUGAAAGCUAUACAUAUGAAGAAAGAUGGGGCUGUCACAGAAGAUCAGUCUGCAAAUAUGACAGGGAAGAAUCUAAAACUGGAUCCACGAUCUAGACUAUUCCAUGUUCAUAAAUAGUUUGCUGUCAGAUCAUACUUCUAUAACCUGAACAGAGGAUUGCUGGGCAAGUAUUAUGUGUCAACAGAAUCUCUUCUACCAGUGUUCAGAUCACAAUGGCCACACCUUGGGCUACAAUAAAUCAUCAGCAAAGUGUAUUGGCAUUUGGUAUCCCAGAAAGUUUUGCUCAGACUUUCAAUGCCAGGGUAUGCUUUUUAUGUCUGAUACGGAUCAAUUGCAAGUACUGUAUUACACCGCUCGUAUUAUGAAGGUUAUGUGAAAUAUGACAGAUGUUUGUUUAUUCAUCUGUUAUGCAUGGCUGUGUCUACUGUCUAGUUGUUGGCUUGUUGCCAACAUAUGCAGCAGCAGGUAGCUUCAGCCGCUCAGAAGCCCAAAUGAAGGAUGGCCCAGGCAGAAUAGCUAGUCUAGACCCAGAAAGCUUAGGACAUGUCUUGCCAGCCUGCAGUUUUGUACUCGUAGCGCCAACCAUCUCCGGGUUCUAGCCGGUUAUACAUGGUCUGGAAUGGGCAUCCGCUGAUGGAUUGAAACCUUGAACUGCUUCCGUGUUUGUCUUUUACCAUCUAUAUAGUAUGGUUAGUCAACGGCAUGCAGUACACCCAUGCAUAUGAUUGCAGUAGGAUGACAUGGCGCGACCAGAACCCUUCUUUUGCCAGUUUUAGAUUCUUAUACACGGCCAACUGACGCAGCAGGGAGUUCUCAACUCUGAUAUGGUUGAUGGAAAAACACUAUCACGGUGUCACCUAGCCGGUUGGAGGCCAACCUCUUACUAGGGACAGCAAUGGCCCUGUCCACUGUUUCGUGGCUGGUAUUAUUACCCCUAUGCAGUGAAUAUGACAUGUGGAUCUAUGUGUAUAUUAUGUCGCCAAAAGAACAUUAUAUGAACCGUUGAGCCACCUUUGAUUCUAUUAAUGUGUCAUGGUCAAUUGAUGUCAAACUCUAUUAUCUUCAAGUCUUAUUGUAUUGAUAAAAUCACGAUGCUGCUACUGCCAUUUUGAUGUUUAUAAAAGGGUAUUGAGAACCUGGUGGGUAUCCAUUGGAUGCGCAGGGUUGGGGGUGGGGAAAAAUGAGUGUAAAGGACAGGGUUGCAGUAUUUAGAAAGAUGGGGCUGCCACAGAAAAUAGUCUCCAAGUAUGGCAGGGAAGAAUCUAAAACUGAAUCCUUGAUCAAGACUGUCCCAUAUUCAUAAAUAGUUCACUGACAGAUCUUGCUUCCAUAUUCUGAACAGCUGAUGCUGGGCACAUAGGAGGUUAACCGGUCAGCGGAUCAAAGAAAAUCCACAAUGGCCUCAUCUUGGGUUAGAGACAAUCAUCGGUAAAGAAUCAUAUUGCCGGAUAAGGAUAUCUGUGAUUGGUGGGUGCAGAUCCAUGCUCAUUCAAGAAACACAUGAUUCUUUACGGAUGAUCAUCUCUCAGCACACCCUGCUGAUAAGGUUAUCUGAGAUUGGUGGGUGCAGAUCCUAGAAACAAGCUAGGGCUGAAUGCGCCGCUGUACUUGGAUGUUGUGGUGACACCGUAAUGAUUGUGUGUUUAAUGGAGUUUCCCAUAGUGACUAGCGUGCAGGCCGUCCUCGUAUUUGAGAAAAAAAUCAAUGGGCGAAAUGUUUUCACCUAGGUAAUUGUUGCAUUGUAUGAAUAGGCUUAGAUACCUGGUUAAAGUAUGGUGCGUGUACUGUGACACAAUAAGAUUUAUCAUAUCUAUCUAUGAAUUAGUGUUAAAUCUCCUACAUAAAUAUCUUCUCUUAUCUCACUUUAUGUAUAUAUAUGACACAGAAGCACAUGUAUAUCGGCAUUGUAGAGAUAGAGAUGAGAGAGAAGCUUAUCUGCUUUUUGGAGAUAAAUAUUCAAAUUACUAGUGUAUGAGAGGGAUAGAAUUAUUCUAUCAUAUUGUUUAUUCAACAUCUAAAAAGAUUCCAUGUUUAGCCAUCUAUAUCGGCGUUGUAGAGAGAGAGACUAGUGUUCAUCUGGUUGGAAGGAUGAGAGAGAGAGAGGAGAGAGUUUGGAUGAGAUAGAGAGAUAGUGUUCAGCUGGUUGGAAGGAUGAGAGAGAGAGAGAGGAGAGUUUGGAUGAUAGAGAGAUUAGUGUUCACUUGGUUGGAAGGAUGAGAGGGAGAUGAGAGAGUUCGGAUGAGGAGGUAGAGAGUUCGGAAGAGAGAGAGAGGUGAGAGUUCGGAUGAGAGGUGUGAGAGAGGUGAGAGUUCGGAUGAGAGAUAAAGUAGCUUAUAAGGAAGAGAGAGAGAAAGCGGUAUUCAGCUGGAUGGUGGAGACUUCAUAUAUUACUAAUAAUGCAUCCAAACAGCAUUUGAAAUUUAAUUCUAAGAAAAACUUUCUCGGUACAUCAAAACAAGAAAAAUCAAUUGAAUCAAAUUCUACGGAAUCCAUUUCCUAUGAAAUCUAAUUGCUAGAAUAUGAUUCAUGGAAUGAGUUCCAAUUCUAGAGAUCCAAACGGGCCCUAAGAGAAUUGUAGUGAUCAACUCCCAAGUUGCAAUAUAUUCUAGGAAAUAGGUGGUUAUGAGGAUGAUACCUGCAGACAAUACUUUUAAUCCCUCAAUUCUUACAGAGAAUUGCACAAUCAACUGCAUUUUCAUUUGUGCCACGCUGCUCAGCUAUAAAAAACGGGGCAAAUCGACCAAAAUAAAUGAAUAAACCACAUGGUUUAGACUGGUGGCAUAUGUAUGUCUGAUGAGUUUAGAAUCCCAACAGACCUCUGUUUGCUUAUCCAACAGGAGGGAAAAAGUUUACUUACUAAAUCAGCUUUGCAUGUCAGGCUGCAAUUGUUAGAGAGUAGAAUUGGGUAAUUUGUGAACAUAAUUGAAUCAAAGUUUUGUCUCAGACUAGUAAUAGAAAAUGGUGAUGCUCCAUAGCUAGAACAACACGUUCCUACACUAGUUUAAAAAUUCCCCUGAAAUUGGGAACAAUGGUCAAGCCCAAACCAUACUUGGAACUUGGAAGGCCGCUGGCGGAUGUCAAAGUCAAAAACAGAAGCAGACAGCGACGUCUCACCAGAUCACGAAUCAGAUGCGAUGCAUAUACAUGUUGCAGGCAUUAGCACGCAUCCCUUAGGAUUAAACAAUUCAGCAAGUAGCUCCCCUGCUGACCAAGAAAAGCAAGCUCUGUCUCGCAGCAAGCUCUUCAAUACGCUCCAGCCCAGCUCUACCAUGGCAUUGGCAAUGCGCGUCAUGAGCUUGCUUCCUGCCACCAUCGCCGUGAUGAUCGCAGCGGCCUCCUGGGGAGCGCACGGCGGUGCCAGCGACGAGGCCAGCGCGCUGCUUGCUUUCAAGGCUGAGCUCGCCGGCAGCGGCUCCGGCAUGCUUGCAUCCUGGAAUGGCACCGCUGGCGUCUGCAGCUGGGAGGGCGUGGCGUGCACCAGCGGCCAGGUGGUGGCACUGAGCCUGCCCUCUUAUGGGUUCGCCGGAGCCCUCUCCCCGGCCAUUGGGAACCUCACUUUCCUGCGGACCCUGAACCUGAGUUCCAACUGGUUCCAGGGGGAGGUCCCAGCAAGCAUCGGCCGCCUAGCGCGUCUGCAGACGCUUGAUCUGAGCUACAAUGCGUUCUCUGGUACGCUUCCUUCCAACCUCAGUUCCUGUGUCAGCUUACUGCUGUUAGAUCUCAGCAGUAACCGGUUCCAUGGGCGUAUCCCUGUUGAGCUUGGAGACAAGCUAACAAGUCUUCAGAAGUUCUCACUGGGCAACAACAGCUUGACGGGUGCCAUGCCAGGAUUACUAGGUAACCUGUCAUCGCUGAACUACCUUGAUCUGAGAAAAAACCACCUCGAGGGUCCGAUCCCACAUGAACUCGGCAGCAUGGGCGGCCUGCAGGUCCUUUUACUCCAUGACAACAGACUCUCCGGUGUGCUUCCACACUCCCUGUACAAUCUGUCCUCACUGAAAAAGUUGGGGGUAGGAGACAACAUGCUGUCUGGAACCAUCCCUGCUGAUAUCGGCGAUAGGUUCCCCGGUAUGGAAGCUCUUGACUUUUCUAGCAACCGAUUCAGUGGAGCUAUCCCACCUUCGCUCGGCAACCUCUCUGCUCUCACAAAACUAAUCCUUCAAGAAAAUGGUUUUAUUGGAUAUGUGCCUUCUGCUUUGGGAAAGUUGCAAAGUCUUACUGCCCUUUUCUUGGGUGUUAACAGGCUAGGAGCAAACGACAGUCAAGGGUGGGAAUUCAUCACUUCACUGGCAAACAGCUCCCAGCUUCAGGUUCUUGUUCUCGGCAACAACUCUUUCAGCGGGCAACUGCCUAAUUCAGUCACAAACCUGUCAUCAACUCUGCAAGGUCUUUAUUUGGGAGACAAUAUGAUUUCUGGGAAUAUUCCAAUAAACAUCGGAAAUUUGGUUGGUCUUACAGUAUUUGUGAUGGGAAAUACUUCUGUAUCUGGACAGAUUCCAGAGAGCAUUGGUCAGCUAAGAAACUUGGGUGUGUUAGGCCUUUACAACACUAGCUUGUCAGGCCUCAUACCUUCGUCACUAGGAAAUCUUACACAGUUGAAUAGGCUUUAUGCAUACUAUGGAAACUUAGAGGGGCCAAUUCCAUCAAACUUGGGGAACUUAAAGAAUGUGUUUGUCUUUGAUCUCUCAACAAAUCGACUCAAUGGUUCAAUUCCUAUAGAGGUUUUAAAACUUCCUCAACUUUCCUGGUACUUAGACUUAUCAUAUAAUUCAUUAUCCGGGCCACUUCCAAUUGAGGUUGGUACCAUGGUGAAUCUUAACGAACUGAUUCUGUCUGGAAAUAAGUUGUCAGGCACCAUACCAGCUAGUGUUGGGAACUGUAUAUCGUUGGUACGGCUGCUGCUCGAUAACAACUUAUUAGAAGGAAGCAUACCUCAAUCUCUGAAGAACAUAAAAGGUCUUGCAUUACUGAACCUAACAAUGAAUAAGCUAUCUGGUAGUAUUCCUGAUGCCCUUGCUAGCAUUGGCCACCUGCAACAACUGUAUCUUGCACACAACAACUUGUCAGGUUCCAUCCCCAAAGUUCUACAGAAUUUGACAUUGUUGGCAAAACUGGAUUUGUCCUUCAAUGAUCUGCAAGGCGAAGUGCCAAAAGGGGGUCCUUUUGCAAAUGCAACUCACUUGUCAAUUGAUGGAAAUGAUGAGCUUUGUGGCGGAAACCCUCAACUUCAUUUAGCUCCGUGCUCCACAGCAGCUGCGGGGAAGAACAGAAGGCGAAUGUCAAGAUCACUUAUGGUCACCAUAGCGUCAAUCUGCGCACUUCUAUUCUUAGGUUUAGUAGUUUGUCUUAUCCAUUUGAUCCACAAGAGGCUCAGACAAGGAAACGAAAAUCAACUCAUUCCCACAGUAAUUGAUGAACAGCACGAAAGGGUUUCAUAUCAAGCAUUAGCAAAUGGGACUGACCAUUUUUCGCAGGUUAAUCUGCUCGGACAAGGAAGCUAUGGUGCAGUUUAUAAGUGCACUUUACAAGACAAGGGAAUUACCGCAGCUGUAAAGGUAUUCAACGUGUGGCAAUCUGGGUCUACUAGAAGUUUUGUGGCUGAAUGUGAGGCACUGCGAAGGGUGCGCCACCGAUGUCUCAUAAAGAUCAUCACCUGUUGCUUAAGCAUUGAUCACCAAGGCCAAGAAUUCAAGGCACUGGUUUUUGAGUUCAUGCCCAAUGGUAACCUAAAUGGUUGGCUGCAUCCAGCAUCCAAAAUACAGAGUCUGAGCAAUACGCUCAGCUUAGCUCAGAGACUGGACAUUGCGGUAGAUAUCAUGGAUGCUCUGGAUUAUCUUCACAAUCAGUGUCAACCGCCUAUUAUCCAUUGUGAUCUCAAACCAAGUAACAUCCUCCUUGCCGAAGAUAUGAGUGCUCGGGUUGGAGAUUUUGGCAUAUCAAAAAUCCUUCCUGAUGACACUAGCAAAACUCUGCUGAAUUCAGUUAGCUUCACUGGACUAAGAGGUUCCAUUGGAUAUGUCGCUCCAGGUAACAGAAACUAACACUAUUAUUGCUAUGUUUAGUUUUUAACUUCCAUUUUGCCAAGUCCAGUUAUCUCGGCAUGCACGUUGAUAAGUAGCUUGCCAUGAAUCCACUGACCAAAUAGUGUCUGAAAUCUGAAUUGACUGCAGAGUACGGCGAGGGUCGCGCUGUCUCAACUCUUGGAGAUGUUUACAGCCUCGGCAUACUGUUGCUUGAGAUGUUCACCGGGGUGAGCCCUACUGACGACAUGUUCAAAGACUCCUUGGACCUUCAUAAGUUCGCCGAGGCCGCUCUUCCCGACAGAGCCUUGGAGGUAGCCGACCCGGCAAUCUGGCUUCAUGAAGAAGCAAAGGGGGAAGACCCGGCCACGGUGAGAAGCAGAAGCGAGAGGUGCUUGGCUUCAGUGGUCGGGCUUGGCGUGUCCUGCUCAAAGCAGCUGCCAAGGGAGCGGACGGCGAUGCGGGAUGCUGCCGCUGAGAUGCGUGCGAUCAGAGAUGCCUUCCUGGUUCAAUGUGCAACAGAGACUUGGCCUGCAGUCGGCACCAGCGGCCUUGGAAGCACAGACACUUGAAUGGUGGACGGAGCUACGGUCUCUUGACGCACCAAGGAGCCACCGGACUAGCUGCUCUGCAACUAACAUAGUGGAGAAAAGAAAAACAGCUGGUGCAAGGCUUUAUACGGAGGGGUGUUUGGAUCCCCGGGCUAAAUUUUAGUUCCUGUCACAUUGUCCAUCGAAUAUUUCGAUACUAAUUAGGAGUAUUAAAUAUAGACUAUUUACAAAACCCAUUACAUAGAUGGAGGUUAAACGGCGAGACGAAUCUAUUAAGCCUAAUUAGUCCAUGAUUUGACAAUGUGCUGCUAUAGUAACCAUUUGCUAACGAUGGAUUAAUUAGGCUUAAUAAAUUCGUCUCACCGUUUAACCUCCAUCUGUGUAAUUAGUUUUAUAAUUAACUCAUAUUUAAUCCUCCUAAUUAGUCUCCGAAUAUUCGAUGUGACACGGACUAAACUUUAGCUCCAGGAUCCAAACAUCCCCCAAAGAAUGUGACAGCCACUGCGUGUAUCCGAGAGCCUUAUCUAAUCUACCAAUGAUUGUUGUGUAUGGAUGCAUAUAGAUUAUGCACGAACUCCCUCCGUCCCAAAAAAAUGUACUACUAUUUAUAAUGUAUAAUAAGUAUCAUUAGAUUAAGUAUUGAGUAUACUUUCCUAAUAUAUUUAUUUGAAGAUACAAAUGCUGAUACUAUUUUCUAUAUUCUUAGUCAAACUUAAAAACGUUGACUCCUCGAAAAGUGAGAUGUGUGUUUAUUUUGGGACGGAGGGAGUACCCGUCACGAGGAUUAGUCACGAUACAAGUAGGGAUUAGCAAGCACCAAAACCUCAUUCACUGCCCUUCGAUUGCUCAAAUAAAAGCAACCAUUGCAUAUGGUGGCGAUGCGCUUGCGGGCCUUUCUCCAACCUUCAUUCUCCAACCUCUCUGCUCUCGCGGGCCUUGAACUCGCAUGGAACAGUUUUAGUGGAAACGUACCCCAACUUUGAAGAGAUUGCAAAGCCUCAUUUUACCUAUCCUUAAGUGGCAAUAAGCUAGGAUCGAAUGAUAAGGACGGAUUGGAAUUCAUCACCAUGCUGGCAAACUGCAGCCAGCUCCAGCAACUGGCUUUUGACAAUAGUUCAUUCAUCGGGGAACUUCCUACUCAAUUGCAAAUCUAUCGACAACACUCCAAUUGCUCUGUAUAUGAAACAAUUGGAUUUCGGGAUUUAUUCCAUCCAGCAUCGGUAAUUUGGUUGGUCUAGAACUGCUUACGUUGGCAAAUACUUUCAUAUCCGGAGUGAUUCCAGAUAGCAUUGGUCGCCUAAAAGACACGUCCGUGUUAGGCGUUUACUACACUAGCUUGUCAGGCAUCAUACCUUGAUCACAAGGAAAUCUUACACAGUUGAAAGCUCUCUGUGCGUACGAUAUAGCAACUUGGAGGGUCCAAUUCCAGCAAGCUUGGGGAACUUAAAGAAUCUUUUUAUCCUUGAUCUCGGUUUCAGGUCGAAGCAGAGCAUAAACCUUUCUCAAGACUACGAAGUUACCAUAGAGCAUAUCAGUAUGAGGGCUAGGCUAUACCCUAUCAACACCUCCCCUCUUACCCUUUCGGUAAGAUUACCUCAAACUAUAGUCUUUAAUUAAUUAGCCAAGACCAGAGCCAUAUAGUUCCAAGUUUAAUCAUUGAGUUUAUUAAAACCAUCAUAACCCAAGGUAUUGCAACUAAGCAUAUCUACCCAACAAACAGGUAAAACCCAGGUUGACAAGGAAUGAUCAUAAAGAGAUUAGGUAAACCUUAAUAGGACCCAUCAAUAUUAGAUGUAGAGCAAUGCAAAAGUGAUUAAAUAUAGUUAUUGAGAUAAAAGCACAAGGACACACUUGCCUUUCUCCAAAGAAUAGCUGCUCAGAUUAUCUUCAGCUCUUGUUCCUUAAAGCUCUCGAACAACGUUCCUUCUACUUGCAUCAAUCAUCGGCACAAGCAUACAAAGCAAACAACAAUCAUAACUAAGAACAAUACAUCAAUCAUAGUAAAGCUUUAAAAGAGCGUACUAAAGGAUAAGGCUUGAAUCUAAGGUCAUGCUAACACAAGAAACGCUGGGAACGAAACUAUGGUUGAAAAGACAAAGCUAUCGAGAGAUUUGAAUUAUAAAAGAAAGAGAAAAGCCUAUGUGCUUCAUAUAUUUUAAUAAAGAAAAGAAUGUAAAUAUAUUUUAGAGAAACAUCCUUAGAAGGUUAUAUUUAUAUAUGAAAAGACGAUGUAGAACUUAGUCAAAUUUUAUUUAUAAAUAUUCAAGUAAACAUUUAAUUUGAAAAUAAAGUAUAUGUAAACAUCAAGGCGCAUAGCUUUAUGAUUCAGGUUGAACUGACCAAAUAUAAUUCAAAAACACAUUUAUAUUUAUAUUAGUCAAAUUAACAUAUAAUUAUGAAAACCCAAGAUGUAACUUAUGUAGCUUUUAUUUAGAAAACAAAUUGAAUAAACAUUAAUCAAUUUAAGUUUAAUUAUGAACCACCGUGGUGCAUCUCUAAUUCGCUUUUAAUUGAAAGAGUUAUUUAAAUAAGCAUUAAGAACUAAAUUAACAUUUAUUAUGAAAAGCGGUUAUAACACUAAGUAGCUUUUAAUUAAAGAAGACAUGUUUAACAUGCAUUAAUCAGAUUAAUAUUAAAUUUAUUUUAAAACAUGCAUGAUGGAAAGAUCACUACUAACAUGUAAUUUGUGUUAUCACGAACCUAAGAAUGGAUAUAAACGGAGCUGUAACGAGGAGUCCAUGGGUUAAACAAGGAUGCAGGGCCUAAUCGCGAUUAAUGAAAGGUUAUUGGGGCUAGCGAGGAAGAUUUGCAAGACAUUGGAAUAGAGCUCACCAUUAGGUCAAAGCAUAGGGUUACAUCUGUUAAAGUACGCAGGUUGGACUUGGUUGCACGGAUCCAAUAUAAUCAGGGACAUGGAUGAAAAUAAAUAAGACACAAGGAAAAACUAACUAUUUAAAGAGCUUCCAGGGGCCUAUGCACAAAAGCACCAUAGCUCAGCAUCCGGACGGGCUCCUAGACGGCAAAAUCAUCAUGUCAGAUUUAUAAGCCCAGCAAUCCACCAGAGGGUUACCCAAGUGGUUGAUUUGUAGGUGAGGGUGAUUGCGAAACCAAGAACUCAAAGGUGAUGGCGAGAACACGAAACGACACGAAGGUUUUAGAUAGGUUCGGAUCUCCAGAGAGUAAUAUCCUACGUUCUGUAUACUGGUGUGUAUUGCUUGAGAUUGAUCUGAUUGUUGGGAUGCCUUAUAAUGAAUCUAAUCUACUCGAUAGUUACAUAGAAAGUAAUAUGAGUCGGACAACAAUACGCGUUCCAUGAUAUUCGGGCAGAUUGCCUUGACUUACACUCCAAGUAACUUCAUGCCCUUGGCCCGCACGCCCUGGUCGGGCGGGCCCUACUUGUCAGGUCCAUCUAGUAUCCUAGUUGAUGGGGGCUCAUGGGGUACCCAUAUCCCUCAAGCUCCCGAGCGAUGUGUAGGCGAACAGGAACUUGAGGUCAUCACAGCGAAACUUGAAAUGAAGUCGGCUGAAGCUGCGAAGGCGUCAUGGCGACGGAGAGACUGUGCAGUGCUCAAAAGAAGAAAAUUUGAGCAAACACAGAGCCAACGCAUAGAGUGAAGACGAGUGCUGAGUUGAUGGAUGCUGGCAUCUAGCAGGUUGGAGUGAAGGUUAUGGAGGGUGUCGCAAGACGCACUCCGUAGGAGUAGUCCCCAAGCAUUGAAGCGAUUAAGAUAAUCAGUACAAUGGUCAAAGAAGAAAAAAUUGUCUUCUGAAGCAGAUCCUAGUGCCCGAACACAAGGAUGGGCGCAGCCACAUAGGCCCGCCGACCAGAAAUAGGCACCCAGACCCAAGGAUGAGGACUGGUGGGACCGUGGAGCCACGGCGACCUAAAAUAGGCACCCAACCCCCAAGAAUGAGGAGUAGCAGAGCUGCGGAGGCAUGCCGACCUGAAGUAGGUGCCCAGCCCCCGAGGACGAGGACUAGCGGAGCCAUGGAGGCAUACCGACUUGAAAUAGGCGCCCAGCCCCCAGGGACGAGGACUGGCAGGGCCACGGAGGCACGCCGACAACAAUUAGGCGCCCAACCCUGAGCAUGAGUAUGAGGACUGGCGGAAGCACGUCGAGUCGCCUCCCGCCCUGAGCUGAGGCAGAGAGGUAGGCUGGGCGAUGGGAGGCACACCGAGUCAUCUGCGGCCACCAGCCGCCGAGUCUGGGAGCCGGACGAGUCACAGAAGCAUGCCAAGUCACCUCAUGCCCUGAGCCAGAGAGGUCAGCCGGGUGACGGGAGGCACGCCGUGUCGUCUGCGGUGCCCAGCACCCAAGCCUGGGAGCCGGCUGAGCCACAGAAGCACGCCAAGUCGCCUCCCGCCCUGAGCUAGAGAGGUUGGCCGGGUGAUGGGAGGCACGUCGAGUCGUCUGUGGCGCCCAAUCCCUGAACCUGGGAGCCGGACGAGCCACAGAAGCAUGCCAAGUCGCCUCCCGCCCCGAGCCAGAGAGGUUGGCCAGGUGUUGGGAGGCAUGCCGAGUAGUUUUUGAGCUGUAAAAGGACAAUACAAUCAUUAUGUAGCAUAGUGUAGAUCAUUCAAUAAUUUAACAACUCAGAAGUUUAAUUCGAUAUAGAAGUAAACUCUUGCGCAUCCUGCUAUUGUAGGUCAAGUAAUUUCCCCGGGUAGUUAGCCUGUUACGUUUAAGCACCUAGCUUUGCUGACCACUGCUCACGGAGAGAACAGCUUAUCUCAGGCUAUAGCGUUGGGGCUGACUCGAUGCUCGCAUAUAGGAGACGCACAUGAUGAGUCAAGGUUUCACGAAUUAAGGCGUGUGCUACUCGAGUACUUUAGCAACCGUUAAGAGGGAUGGACAAGCCACAAAUCAGCCGAAACUCUACGGAAAAGCACCAGCAUGAGCUGGGCACCCAUGGAGUGUAGCCCUCGACCGCCCGUGUAGUGGACGGACCAAGCUGUAUAAGUAGUCGGGGUGCGAUCAAGGUGGUCGGUGAAAGUCACGGAGACAUAGGAGAGCCGAGGUGGUCGGCGAAAGUCACAGGGACAUGUAAGAGUCGAGGCAUAUGUAGGUAUACGGAAGCCGUAAAAUAUUUAAUUGUAAAUAAGACUUACCUUGAUUCAUGAUUGAGUCGGAGAACCCGCAUGUCGUCUUCGCGUUUAGGCUUAGAAGCUCCUGAGCGUGGCCGGCGGACAGUUGUUGGUGAAGCAAACUAGUCGGUCUCCAUGCCCAACUAAUUUGUGUCGAGACUGAGUUGUUGGAGUUGUCAGGGACGCAUAUGUGGUUGCGAUCGUGGUAUGCUGCUGCCGAGUCGACGCGGCCGUCGGGUCGUGGUCGGCUGGCCGCCACGCUCGCAGUACAGCGUGCAUGGGUUGUGCUGCCAAACCAAGGGUGCAUGUACAUCUUUCCGAACCUCGUAAGGAAGCCCUCACGUAUUAAGGAAAUAAGAAAAAAAAUUAUUAGCUGCCGUAGUAAGCACCGAGCAACGUAGGAGAUCUACUGGAUAGAAUAGAUUAAAUAAUAAAGGGAAGGGAGAAUUGUUCCCUUUUUUUCCGUGGCAGAUCCGACGUGUCUGCAGGCAACAAGUUGGGGUCCACGUGUCGUGCUAAAUCAACCGGAGGCGUGGUGCUUGGCCUCCUGCGCCUCGCAGAUCUUCUGCAUCUGGAGCAUCCGCUCUAUGACGAGCUCGUACUGGCACUUCUCGUAGGCGUGGCACUCAGGCUCGCACUUCCACGGGAGGUAGAACUCGGAGGUGCGCGCACUGGUCGUGGCAGGCAAGCAGCACCCGGGACUCCGCCAUCUCCACCUGCGUGACGAUCUGGGGCUUCAAGGAGCCGAGCUGCACGCCGGCCGCUGCCGCCGCCUCCAUUUGUCACUUUCUUUCCCUCUCUCACCGGCGAGGUCAUUCUGUCGAUAGAUGGGUGCUGCGGGUUUGGUGCGGCGUGGGUAGGUGGGGUGUAGCAAGGACGUGGAGAGAGAUUGCAUACCUACUGGGCAAGCGGCAUGAUGGUCUUGGAUGGAGAACUUGCUCCGUCGGAGUAAAUCUGACGGAUGCUGAGUUGACGACGGGCGUCGAGUCGAAGUCCACUAGCAUGCUCCCAAAGCGGAGCUGAAUUGGACUGGCGAGGAAUUCCUUCAUGCUCUCGGGGAGAACAAUGCCGGGGUGGGAUGCCAUCGAGCUCGCUGGGGAGGAUCUCAUAAUCACCCCUACCUGGCGUCCCAAUUGUCGGAUUUAUAACCCCAGUAGUCCACUAGGGGGUUACCCAAGUGGUUGAUUUGUAGGUGAGAGCGAUUGCGAAACCAAAAACUCAAAGGUGAUCGCGAGAACACAAAGGGACAUGAAGGUUUUAGACAGUUUCGGACCUCCGGAAAGUAAUACCCUACGUCAUGUAUGCUGGUUUGUAUUGUUUGAGAUUGAUCUGAUUGUUGGGAUACCCUCGGGGGUGCCCUUGGCCACUUUGUAUAGGCUAACGACCAAGAGUUGCAAGUUGGUUUGAAUCUAAUCUACUCGGUAGUUAAAUGGAAAGUAAUCUGAGUCGGACUACAAUACGCGUUCCAUGAUAUCCGGGCAGAUUUGAACUGUCUUGUUGCCUCGUCGUGCACUCCAAGUAACUUCAUAUCCUCAACCUGCACACCCUGAUCGGGCGGGUCCUACUUGUCAGGUCUGACCAGUAUGCUGGGGUACCCAUAUCCCUCACCUUGGUGCUCCGACAGUUAGGGUCGGCGGCGAGGAUGGGGAUUGGAAGCGGAGAUCGAGGGGACUUUAUGGAGAUGCUCACCGUUCCAUCCGGAAUUUGGCUAGCGGCGGAAGAACAUGGCAGCUAGCUCGGGUCUUUGCAAGUGACGGUACUUCGGUGGUGGAGCGGCAACGAAGAUUGGUGGCAGAGCUGCUCCUCGAUGUCACGAAGCUCCCUGAGGCUCCAACUUGCUCCGAUAGUUGACGGGCACAGCGAAUCGGCAAGAGAAGGCCGGCGGCGGCUCCUGGCUUCGGCGGAUGUGGGGUAUGGCGGUGCUCUCGCAAGCUGGGAAGAGCGGCGGAGUGUGGCAGGGCAGCACCAGAGGCACUAUCUCGACUUUAUAGGCACGUGGGUCCGCGCCUGCCUUGGCGCACACGCUGAGGUUCGGUGGUGGCGAUGCCUCAAGCUGCUGGUGGCCGAUGGGCCUAGCGGGCUUGGCUGAGCCAUCAGCUGGGCCGGGUCGGUGCGGGUUGGAUGGAGAGGUUCGGCCCCCAAAGGCUUGGCCCGAUCGAUUAGGAUUUUCCUUUUUUUCAGAAAUGAUUUCUCGUGAAUGAAAAAUCUAGAAAAAUUCUAGAUAAUUCAUUUAAACAACAAAAAAACUCUAAAAAUCCAAAAAUUCUAGGAAAAAUCCUAGAGAUAGUUUGGGGAGGACAGGAGGAGUCCAAAUAAAAUACUUGGAGGGCGUGAAAAGGAUUCUAGAGCCUUUCAAAAAUUGGAUUUAGCUCUGGAAAAAAAUGAGAAUAAAUCUCAGAAAAAUAUGGAAAUUCUCAUAAGAACCUAAUUGGCAUCUAAACGCAUUUCAAAACCUUUGCACUCAUGAAAUACCAAGAUGCAUCGGCAUGAAUGCAACACAUACAUAGAACCAUUGUAUUUAAUUCAGAAAACACAAUCUUUUUCCUAUACUAAAUUUCCUGUCAAGAAAAUAAAUAUUGGAAAAUUUUAAAUUAUCAGAAAAUCAUUGUUUAAUUAUUCUUUUUAAUCACAUCCUGAAAUUUCAAAAAAUUUAGGGUCCAAAAUUCUUUUUACGGAAUUUGACAUUCAUGUCCAAAUUGGAUCUAUCCUUCAAUGAUCUGCAAAGUGAAGUGCCUAAAGGGUUUUUCUUGCAAAUGCAACUUACAUGGCGAUUUAUGGAAAUGAUCAGCUUUGUGGUGGAAUACCUCAACUUCAUUUAGCUCCAUGCUCCAUGUCCUGUGCAAAAAAGAAAUAAAGAAAUUUGUCGAAAACCCUUGGGAUCACCCUAACAUCAAUCAGUGCAGUUGUAUUCUCAGUUUCAGUACUUGAUGUAAUUGUGUUGAUCCGUAAGAAGCUUAGGAAGAGGCAUGAAAGUCAACUCAUAUCCACAACUGAGGAACUGUAUGUAAGAGUUUCUUAUCAUGCUUUGUCAAAUGGGACCAAUGGAUUUUCAGAGGACAAUUUACUUGGACAAGGAAGCUAUGGCAUGGUUUUAUAAAUGUACUUUACAUGACCAGGGCACUACAGUAGCUGUAAAGGUGUUUAACACACAACAAUCUGGGACUUCUAGAAGUUUUGUCACUGAAUGGGAGGCACUCAGAAGGGUGCGUCACCGUUGUCUCGUAAAGAUCAUCACUUGUUGCUCAAGCAUCAAUCACCAGGGUCAAGAGUUCAAGGCACUAGUUUUUGAGCUCAUGCCAAAUGGUAGCCUAAAUGGUUGGCUUCACCCAGAGUCAGAGUCUGACACACUUACCCAGACAAAUACUCUUAGCCUUGAACAAAGGCUACACAUUGCUGUCGAUAUCAUGGAUGCUUUGGACUAUCUUCAUAAUCACUGUCAGCCAUCAAUCAUUCAUUGCGAUCUCAAGCCAAGCAACAUCUUUCUUGCGGAAGACAUGAGUGAGUGCCCGAGUUGGAGGUUUUGGCAUAUCAAGAAUCCUUCCAGAAAGUGCUAGUAAAACCCUGCAAAAUUGGAAUAGCGCAACUGGAAUAAGAGGCACCAUUGGUUAUGUUGCACCAGGUAAUGAAAGAGAUGUUUUUGGUAUUUGUAAAAUGUUCUUAGUUCUUACGUAUACAAGACCUGCUGACCUUUUUUUUUUCCCAAUCAGAGUAUGGUGAAGGUUCUUCUGUCUCAACUCAAGGUGACGUUUAUAGCCUCGGCAUAUUGCUGCUUGAGAUGUUUACUGGAAGGAGCCCAACGGAUGAGAUAUUCAAUGAUUCUUUGCAUUUGCACAAGUUUUCAGAGAAUGCUCUUCCAGAGAGAAUAUGGGAUAUAGUUGACAAUAUGGAUGCACACAGAUGCCUAUAACAGCACUAUAAGAAGUGGAAUUAAGAAUUGCUUGCUUUCUGUCGUUUGUCUUGGAAUAUCAUGCUCGAAGAAACAACCUAGGGAGCGGAUCCCGAUUCAGGAUGCAGCCAUUGAGAUGCACUCUAUUAGAGAUUCGUAUCUCAAGUUUGCCAGGUCUCUUUUGGUGGAGCAUGGAGUAGUAGCAACAACUCACAGUGAUUUCCCACAACAGUGAAUAUACAUAGGACUGAAAAUGGGCAAGAUGUCUGCAGGUGAUCAGUUUACCUGAAAUAACUGAAGAUGUAUGAAGCUUCAGCUUUAUAAUUCGUCCAUGCAUUUGUUUGCAUCAGAUAUAUGGAAGUAUAAAAUAAGUUUAGAAAAUGUUUCAAAAUAGAUUAGAUCCAGAGGUUUUACUUGUCGUCUGUAUGACACAUUUUUUGUAGAGAAUUCAGUAAUAUGUAUGAUUCAUAAUACAAUCCGUGCUCUGCAAAUUUCAGAUAGCACAAUUGUGCGUGUACUGUGACACAAGAAGGUUUAUCAUUUCCAUGUAUGAAGUAGUGUUAAAACUGCUACAUAAAUAUCUUCUCUUAUCUCAUUGUAUGUGUAUAUAUGACACAGAAGCACAUGUAUAUUGGCAUUGUAGAGAGAGAUGAGAGAGAGAAGCUUAUCUGCUAUUUGGAGAUAAAUAUUCAAAUUACUGGUGUAUGAGAGGGAUAUAAUUAUUCUAUCAAAUUGUUUACUCAACAUCUAAAAAGAUUCCAUGUUUAGUCAUCUAUAUCGGCAUUGUAGAGAGAGACUAGUGUUCAGCUGGUUGGAAGGAUGAGAGAGAGAGGAGAGAGUUCGGAUGAGAGAGAGACUAGUGUUCAGUUGGUUGGAAGGAUGAGAGAGAGAGGAGAGUUUGGAUGAUAGAGAGGUUAGUGUUCACCUGGUUGGAAGGAUGAGAGGGAGAUGAGAGAGUUCGGAUGAGGAGGUGGAGAGUUCGAAAGAGAGAGAGGUGAGAGUUUGGAUGAGAGAGAAAGCAGCUUAGAAGGAUGAGAGUGAGAAAGCGGUAUUCAGCUAGAUGGUGGAGACUUCAUAUAUUACUAACUAGCAAGGUGUCCGUGCGUUGCUACGGAGAAAUGACGUUGCUUAGCGCGUAAUGUUUUUUAUCGUGUCGUGUAGCGGACCAUAUUUUUUAUCAUAUUGUGUAACUUUUUUAUUUUAGUUGUAUUAGACUGGCCACGUGAGUGUGUCCAUAUCCCUACCGUGCGGAGAUCGCUUGCCAUCGAACUUGUUAUCACUUUCUCUAUCUUGAGAUUGGUAGGCUUCUACAGCAAUUCUGCACAAAGAAGGCCCCACUUCGCCCCGAUCCCGUUAGUCCCGCGCCUACCCUCUCCCUCUCCGAUCCUUGCCACCAGCUCCUCCUGGUCCAUGUUGGGCCCGUGAUGUAGCGGCCUGUUAUCCUUCCACCGUUGGAAGCGAGCAGUGAUCGCUGCUCUGUGAACCCAACCUCACGCCGUUCCUACCACUUCAGGUCCAGUGAAGCCUGAGCUUUCGCUUGGGCCAAACAGGCCACUACCAACUUGGAACGAGCAGGGCCAGCAAAGGCACACAAUAGAUCCAAGCCCAGAGUCCGCACCCAAACAUCCACACCACCUUAAUACCCCCACUUGGGUUACAAGCCCGCGCAACCAAGCUUGGUGAGGAUGGCUCGUGAGGACGAACAUUUAAGCUGGUGCGGCGCUGCUUCAGAUGGUGAGGUGGUACUAAUCUAAGGAAUAGGAAAAUUUCACAUGGGUCUCACACCGUACCCACCCCUAUCCUUAUCCUUUCUCAUCUCUCUACUAUCCGUUCAGUCCUUAUCCUCUUCGUCUCAUCUUUCUCUCCCUCUCCCUCUCAAACUCUCUAUCUCUCCUAUCCUAUCCCCUCUAUCUCUGGAGAAGGUGGUGCACGGCCGGCCCCAGCAGCGGCCUGGGGGCGCGGGGUGUCGGUGGCGGCCGAGGGUCGUGGGGUUGUGGUGAGGAGCCUCCUGGCCAUGGAUGCGAUGGCCUAGCCACGGGCACCGGGCCGCGUUGCACCGCAUGCUGCUGCUGCCGAGUAGGCCGCACGCACUGCCCGCGCACCAGGUAGCACGGGCGGCCGGGGCCGGGGAGGCGACUCUGGCGUGGCCGGCUAUGGUGGGAAGGGAGAGGCAGAUGGUGGCGCAACGGCGGCAUGGAGAGGCGGACGUCGGGCACGGACGGGUGAAAGGGGAGAUGGGGAAAGAAAGCUGGUCCCACCUGCCAAUGCAGCCGGGGUCGGGGUGGCGCGGGCAGCCGAGGCCGAGGCCGGGCGGCACGACCGGGGCCAGGGAGGUGGCUCUGGCGUGGCCGGCUGUGGUGGGCGGGGAGACUCGGACAGCGGCGCAACGGCGGGCACGAAGAGGUGGACGUCGGGCACGGACGGGUGAAAGGGGAGACGGGGAAAGAAAACUAGACCCUCCUGUCAAUGCGUUAAUCUUACCUAUUAUUAAACAUCAGGGCGACCUCUCGUUGAAAAACAAAAAAAAUGGACACAAGUGUUCCUCACUUUAAUAAUAAUAAUAAAGUAUAGAUAAUGUAUCAAAUAGCAUUUGUAAUUUAAUUCUAAGAAAAACUUUCUCAGUACCAAACAAGAAAAUUCAAUUGAAUCAAAUUCUACGGAAUCCAUUUCUUAUGGAAUCUAAUUGCUAGAAUAUGAUUCAUGGAAUAAGUUUCAACUCUAGGGAUCCAAACAUACCCGUAGUUAUUUCUUAUGCCGCUCAAAUCAGACGCAAGGUACGUCCUAACUAAAAAACGUAAGUUACUUUAUGUUAUCUUGUGAAUCAGUGAUUAAUUACUUCCAAUCUUAUGUAAAAAGAACUACGAGUUAAAUUCUUUGUCAGAUUUAUACUGACAAGUUACAAGCACAUGCCUCUGCAGUAACAGGCGAGCCCUAGACUAGUGGGCAAACCAAAAACAACAUGAUUCGUCAACUGAUCGAAUGCUAAUGACUAUUUUGCUAGGAGAAUGAACAUGAUUCAUACAAAAAAGGGGAGUUAGUAAAAGGGGAGCUACUAACUUGGUCAAGGUCUCCGUCCUCUGGCGUGGGGAAGGGGCCAUCUUGCUCCACUCCACGUCUGCGUGGUUGCUCGGCGGGCGCGACGGCGUCGGGUGCGGAGUGCUGACGGCGCGUAGAUAUGUCAUUGUUGAUCAGGACAUGCACUUCUAUCACCAUCUGUGGUUGGCGUCCGCGGCCGAGCGGGUCAAGAUCUCCGUCCUCUAGCGUGGGGAAACAGGAUCUCUUCAAUCAGUGCUUCUACAGAAACGGUGCACGGUCACCACGGACCAACGACAUACCAUGAGAAAAGCAGAGCUAAAUGUUGCAGUAGCAGAGUAACCGGAGACUGCAGAGCACUUGCUGCUAAAAGCUGCCUCUUAUUUUGUAUCGUCUUAACAGAAGACUUUAAGUCAGCCGCCAUUCGAUUCCAAUAUAAACUUGCAAGUUGGCCCGCGAUAAUAGCGCAGCUAGAUUUGAUACAUGUGCAUAUGCACGCCUAAUUAAAAUUGCUCACUUGUAACAAAAUAAUAACAACUUGAGUAGUUGAUUAUGAUCUUAUGUUGCAGUUUUUGCCAACUUUUCCUAGUAUUAUUGUGUUGAGUAGAAAGCCUGUGUAGAAAAAGAUACAAAACAAACAAUCAUGUCAACUACUCCCAUAUGCUUGCUCAAAUGAUUUUGAAAAAAAAAAAACAACCGCGCUCUAAGUCCUAGGGCGGUGAUAUUCCUCCUUACUUUCCUCCUCUCGUUUUCCUUGCACAAUCCAGGAUGACAAAUACCACAAACCACUUAGGCUCGAUCAUGUUUCAUCAUCACAUUCCUCAAAUCUUGAUCACGUUGUUGUCUUCGUUAUGCUAGCAGUACACAUCUCUCCGCCUCAUAAGAUUACUAAGGUCUCAUAAGAUUUUUGAUGGAUUUGCAUUAAUAUUAAUAUUGCCACCAAUCUAGUCUCAACCUUGCUUGUGUUCUCCAUGGUCAUGUUUUAUUCUAACUUGCAAGACCUACAAGCGCAUAUGAUGGUUCUUCUAUAUACAUAAUAUAUCGCAUCUCCUAAGACAUAUAUCGCGGGCCGGUGGCGCGCGGGGGAGCGGCGCCGGUGGAGCGGAGGCGACCGGCGGUGGGCAGAGGCGGGUGGGUGCGGGCGCAGGCGGAGGUGGGUGGGCAUGCGGGGGAGCGGCGCUGGCGGAGCGAAGGCGGGUGGGCGCGGGCAUAGGCGGAGGCGGAGGCCGGCGCGGGCACGUGCGGAGGCGGACGGGUGGAGGCAUGCAGCGGCGGGCGGGCACGGGCGAGUGGCGGCUGGGCCGGCGGCGGCCUCGCGGCACGGGUGGAGGCGGAGACCGGCAACGGCCGGGCAGCCCUCCGGCGAGCGUGGGGCUUUUUUUUAUUUUUUUUCAAAAAUUUUUAGUCCCGGUUGGUAGUUGGUAACACCAAUUGGUACAAAAGGGGGCCUUUAGUUCCAGGUGGAUUACCCGGGACUAAAGACCCCCUCUUUUGUCUUGAAAAAUUUAUCCCGGAUAACUUAGAGAGAUUUGAGCCUAUCCAACCGGGACUAAAGGUGAGUUUUCCAUCGGUGAAUGUCAGAGGCUCAUCCUAAAUGGUGACACCAUGCUGAUCAUGCAAUUUAUCAUUAUUUUAUCGCCCUCAUGCAUGCUGCAUGAUAGAUAUUGGUACUGGGCAGCUUAGAUUCCUCAGCGCAUCAUGCUGCUCAGCCAUGGAGGUCAAGUCAUCGCUAUUGUCCAUAUCACAACGCCUCUGCGUUCUCUUGUUGUCCUCCCCUUCCCUCUACCUUGCACCUUCUUGUUUUGCUGAUCCUAUUGUCAGUUUGUUGCAGCCAUUUAUGGGCACCUCUUUCAUCCAUUGUCCACUGUUGUUGCCCGCUGCCUCAGUUCUUCUCUGACCAAAGCGGUCGUAUCGCGCUGGUCGGUAGGAAGCCAUCGUCUCGCAAAAGCAUAGUCGUCGUCGCCAAACCACAUCUAGCCGAUGCCGAACCAUACUUUUGCCAUCUUGUUUGCCAACUUGCCGCUAUGGAAGCCUCCAUGCAUCGCUCAUCGAGUCUAUCCUAUCUCUAUCAGCUCCUGUGGUAUCCUGUUUUGUUUUUGCCUCAACCACGAAGCCAUAGGUUGCUGGUGCUAAAUUGCAGGGCCAGCAACAGGUAUUUCCUCUCCCUGGCCUUGCGGCCAUGCUAUGUAUUUUUCUCUCUCAAAAAAAAUUCCAAUGAUUUAAUCCUAAUGUUCCGAUCAUGUGUGAUUGGUUUAUUAAUUAAAGUUAGAGUUAUACUUUAAGUAUAUUAUAUAAAAAUAAUAUAUAUAUAUAUAUAUAUAUGUAUAUAUAAAAGUUACCAUGCAAAGUACAACUUCCAAUAAGGUGGAGAGGUUCGGAUGGAAUUUUGAUUCAACUUACUCUAUUCUAGAUAUUAGAGUUGUACUAGCAAAAUACCGCUACGGUAAAAAAAUCAAUUGGGUUUUUCAACUAAUAAUAUUUUUUAUUUUCAUCACUAAAUUUUUAUUCCACUUAUUGGAUGUCCACACAUUUUAAUAGAAAACUAAAAAAUGUUUGACUAAUUAUUUCCUUCACUCAAAUACCCAUUAAAUUAAAAUAUUUUUUUAUUCAAGCAAGAGAGUUAAAUCAGCCUCCGAUGGCCACCGAUGGGGGCUCUUUAGUCCCGGUGGGUAAUAUCAACUGGGACUAAAGAACCCCUUUAGCCCCGGUUGUAAAAGCUAGUGGCCCUCGGGAUUCUGGUGGAGUGUUUUGUCCUGGUUGCAACUACCAACCAGGACUAAAGGAGACCUUUAGUUCCGAUUGGUGUUUCCAACCUGGACAAAACGCUCCCCGCCUCCACACACACAAUGCGCGUGUCCCACUUUCUCUCCUCCCUCUCCUUAAUUCCAGUGCCUAUGCCUCCUCUCCUUAAUUCCAACACCCACAUGCCUCCUCUCCUCCUCCCUUCGGUCCCUACCUCCUCUCCUCCCUCUCUUCCUCCGCCGGAUCCGGCCGGCCCCCACUCCCUCUCCCCAAGCUCCUCCCUCUCCCUCGGCCGCGCAGGUCAGGCGGUGCGGCCGGGGCCGGGGCGGCGUGGGCGGUCGGGGCUCGGGAGGAUGACAGGUGGUUAUGAGGAUGAUACCUGCAGACAAUACUUUUAAUCCCUCAAUUCUUACCGAGAAUUGCACUAUGAACUGCGCUUUCAUUUAUGCUACACCGCUCAGCUAUAAAAAAGGUGCAAAUCGACCAAAAUAAAUGAAUAAACCACACGGUUUAGACUGGUGGCAUCUAUAUGUUUGAUGAGUUUUGAAUCCCAACAGACCUCUGUUUGCUUAUCCAACAGGAGGAAAAAACUUUACUUACUAAAUAAGCUUUGCAUGCCAGGCUGCAAUUGUUAGAGCAGGAUUGGGUAAUUUGUGAACAUAAUUGAAUCAAAGUUUUGUCUCAGACUAGUAAUAGAAAAUGGUAAUGCUCCAUAGCUAGAACACGUUCCUACACUAGUUUAAAAAAUUCCCUGAAAUUGGGAACAAUGGUCAAGCCCAAACCAAACUUGGAACUUGGAAGGCCGCUGGCCAAUGUCAAAGUCAAAAAACAGAAGCAGACAGCGACGUCUCACCAGAUCACGAAUCAGCCUUAGGAUUAAUACACUCUGUCUGGCAAUGCGGCAAUGCGCGUAGCUCCCCUGCUGACCAAGAAAAGCAAGCUCCGUCUGGCAGCAAGCUCUUCAAUACGCUCCAGCCCAGCUCUACCAUGGCAUUGGCGAUGCGCGUCAUGAGCUUGCUUCCUGCCACCAUCGCCGUGAUGAUCGCAGCAGCCUUCUGGGGAGCGCACGGCGGUGCCAGCGACGAGGCCAGCGCGCUGCUUGCUUUCAAGGCUGAGCUCGCCGGCAGCGGCUCCGGCAUGCUUGCAUCCUGGAAUGGCACCGCUGGCGUCUGCGGCUGGGAGGGCGUGGCGUGCACCGGCGGCCAGGUGGUGGCACUGAGCCUGCCCUCCUAUGGGCUCGCCGGAGCCCUCUCCCCGGCCAUUGGGAACCUCACUUUCCUGCGGACCCUGAACCUGAGUUCCAACUGGUUCCAGGGGGAGGUCCCAGCAAGCAUCGGCCGCCUAGCGCGUCUGCAGACGCUUGAUCUGAGCUACAAUGCGUUCUCUGGUACGCUUCCUUCCAACCUCAGUUCCUGUGUCAGCUUACUGCUGUUGAGGCUCAGCAGUAACCGGUUCCAUGGGCGUAUCCCUGUUGAGCUUGGAGACAAGCUAACAAGUCUUCAGAAGUUCUCACUGGGCAACAACAGCUUGACGGGUGCCAUACCAGGAUCACUAGGUAACCUGUCAUCCCUGAACUACCUUGAUCUGACAGAAAACCACCUCGAGGGUCCGAUCCCACAUGAACUUGGCAGCAUGGGCGGCCUGCAGGUCCUUUUACUCUAUGAGAACAGACUCUCCGGUGUGCUUCCACACUCCCUGUACAAUAUGUCCUCACUGAAAAAGUUGGAUGUAGGAAACAACACGCUGUCUGGAACCAUCCCUGCUGAUAUCGGCGAUAGGUUCGCCGGUAUGGAAGUUCUUGACUUUAGUAGCAACCGAUUAAGUGGAGCUAUCCCACCUUCGCUCGGCAACCUCUCUGCUCUCACAAAACUAAACCUUCCAGGAAAUGAUUUUAUUGGAUAUGUGCCUUCUGCUUUGGGGAAGUUGCAAAGUCUUACUGACCUGUUCUUGACUGACAACAGGCUAGAAGCAAACGACAGUCAAGGGUGGGAAUUCAUCACUUCACUGGCAAACUGCUCCCAGCUUCAGUAUCUUGUUCUCGGCAACAACUCUUUCAGCGGGCAACUGCCUAAUUCAGUCGCAAACCUGUCAUCAACUCUGCAACGUCUUUAUUUGGGAGACAAUAUGAUUUCUGGGAAUAUUCCAAUAAACAUCGGAAAUUUGGUUGGUCUUACAGUACUUGAGAUGGCAAAUACUUUAGUAUCUGGACAGAUUCCAGAGAGCAUUGGUCAGCUAAGAAACUUGGGUGUGUUAGGCCUUUACAACACUAGCUUGUCAGGCCUCAUACCUUCAUCACUAGGAAAUCUUAC